rnacentral:pre_miRNA from 1 species
UCUGCUUUCGAUGGGUGUGUGUUUGGUCCAUGUCUUAUUUUUAGCUACCCAUGACUAGAUCCACACUCAUCCAUAGCGGU